CAAAUCUAUGGAAAGAGAGAAAAUCUCAGCUCAAGUGUCAACAUGUCUUUAUUCCAAGAAAGAGUGUACAUAUGCCAGAAUCAUAUGGACCGCAGACUGGCUCUGGUGAUUCCGUUAAGAAAAAAGAGGAAAAAUCAGUGCUUGUGCUCAUUGGUCAUUGGACAAAGGGUGUAUGCCAGAAUUUUUUCAAGAACAGUCUGAAUCUGACAUGGAAAAAAUGAAGAAAAACAGCCUUCCUGUUUAUAAAUCUACAUUCUGACAAAGGGUAAGAAAGAAAUUCAGGAGUUCUUAAAUUGCCCUUGGAGUUCUUGGAUUGCAUCAAACUGCUAAAAGACCUCAACAAAAACAGCGUCUUGAAAAUAAAAAUGAAAAUAUUCAGUGAAAAAAAAAUGAUGAAUGAGCCACUAAAAAUCUUCAAGCCUUUGAGCUGAAAUCUGGAAGUCAAUCUGUGGACUUUACUAGUAAGUCAUCAUUUGUGUGUAAUAAAUACACUAAACUGUAAACACUUGUUAAAAUGUGUAUAAUUUUUAGAUAUAAUUUGUAUCUCAUAGACUUCAAUAGUUUCAUGAAAUUUAAGUAAUAAUGAAAAUUUCCUGUUGUCUAGCUAGAUUAGAAACUAUUAUUGUCCAAUUUUGGAUAUUGUGAAAUAAUUCAUCUAGUAUGCAUACAUGUGUGUACACUUACGUGUAAAUUAAGUGUUAUAGCAAAUUCAAUCGAUCAUUAAGUUGAAUGUUGACUAAUGUUUUUCAUCAAAAUUGUUUACACUGAAUUGUUUGUGGAUUUUUCCAUUUGCCCAAUCAUGUCAAGGAGCACAUGGCAGGAAAUGCUUUCUCCUCCAUUGCACCUGGUGUUUUUAGAGGUCUGUGUUUGCUCUGCUCUAAUUAUGUAUUGUUUCAAUGGACUUUAAAGCUUGAUCACUGUUGGUAAUCUUCAUAUUUCAUAUACUAUUAGAGUACUUGAAGAAAACUGUAAAGAUUUAACAUACAGUAUAAUGCAUGUAUAUUGCACUUUAAGUACAGUGUUUGUGGUUAAGAAAUGUUAAAUCGUCUCAUAGUGCAUUGAAUUUGUUGAAAAUUAGAAAAUGUGUUGAAAUUUUUUUUGAAAUAAUGUUAGAUUGCAGAUUUUUUUAAAUCAUGCAAGUAAGAAAUUGCUAAAUAUUUUUUAGAUUUUCUGGACAGUCUAGAUGAGUUCUUACUAUAUACAUAUACCUAGCAUUGUCAUCCCAGUUAAAAUUUAAGGAGCAAGGUUCAUUCCUAAGGUCUACCUGGACAAACUUGCAUGGAUUAAAGCACAUUAACAGAUUUACUUCAGAUGCUUGACCUGAUCUACAUUUUCCUCAUGUGUUUUUUUGUUUUUGUUUGUUUGUUGUUUAACAUCCCUCUCAAGAAUUUUUCAUCCAUAUGGAGAUGCCACUACUUGCUGGUGGAGAACUGCAAAAUUUGACCUAUACUUUGCACUCAGGGCCUUGAGCAGUAAGGGAUCUUUUUUGUGCCCACAUCAACUGCUAGGCGGGACCUCGGUUUAUAUGGUCUAAUCUGAAGGACUGGUCCCCACAUCCCCAGUGGAUUUGAACCUGAGACUUAAGGAUUAAAUCCUUACUUGCGACUCUAGAUUACAAACUCUAUCCUUUGCGCCACAUGGGAGACUCCACAAGAUUAAGU